AGCAGCCGCGGUAAUUCCAGCUCCAAUAGCGUAUAUUAAAGUUGUUGCAGUUAAAAAGCUCGUAGUUGAAUUUCGGGAUCAGCGCGUCGGUCGUGCCUCCGGUAUGCACUGGCGCCGCUGGUUUCUCCCUUCUGAGGAACCGUGAUGUCAUUAAUUUGGUGUCGCGGGAAAUCAGAACUGUUACUUUGAAAAAAUUAGAGUGUUUAAAGCGGGCACGCGCUUGAAUACAUUAGCAUGGAAUAACGAAAUAGGACGUUCGAUCUUAUUUUGUUGGUUUCUAGGAUUGACGUAAUGAUUAAUAGGGAUAGUUGGGGGCAUUAGUAUUCAAUUGUCAGAGGUGAAAUUCUUGGAUUUAU
rnacentral:rRNA from 1 species